ACCAAGGCGACGAUACAUAGCCGACCUGAGAGGGUGAUCGGCCACACUGGGACUGAGACACGGCCCAGACUCCUACGGGAGGCAGCAGUAGGGAAUCUUCGGCAAUGGACGGAAGUCUGACCGAGCAACGCCGCGUGAGUGAAGAAGGUUUUCGGAUCGUAAAGCUCUGUUGUAAGAGAAGAACGAGUGUGAGAGUGGAAAGUUCACACUGUGACGGUAUCUUACCAGAAAGGGACGGCUAACUACGUGCCAGCAGCCGCGGUAAUACGUAGGUCCCGAGCGUUGUCCGGAUUUAUUGGGCGUAAAGCGAGCGCAGGCGGUUAGAUAAGUCUGAAGUUAAAGGCUGCGGCUUAACCAUAGUAGGCUUUGGAAACUGUUUAACUUGAGUGC
rnacentral:rRNA from 1 species